GACGAACGCUGGCGGCGUGCCUAACACAUGCAAGUCGAGCGGUCCAGCACUCAAGCUUGCUUGGGUGCUGGGUAGCGGCGAACGGGUGAGUAACACGUGGGUAACCUGCCUGGAAGACAGGGAUAACGAUUCGAAAGGGUCGCUAAAUACCUGAUAAUAUCCUUUCAUCGCAUGGUGAUAGGAAGAAAGGGGAAACCCGCUUUCAGAUGGGCCCGCGUCCCAUCAGCUAGUUGGUAAGGUAAAGGCUUACCAAGGCGACGACGGGUAGCCGGUCUGAGAGGAUGUACGGCCACACUGGGACUGAGAUACCGGCCCAGACUCCUACGGGAGGCAGCAGUUGGGAAUCUUAGGCAAUGGACGAAAGUCUGACCUAGCGACGCCGCGUGAGGGAAGAAGGCCUUCGGGUUGUAAACCUCUGUCAUGGGGGAAGAAGUAAGUGACGGUACCCCAAGAGGAAGCCCCUGCUAACUACGUG
rnacentral:rRNA from 1 species